GCCCGGUGCGUAGGUUGCGGUUACUUCCACUGGUAAUGGAGAGGUCGCGGGUUCGAAUCCCGCCCCCGGCC
rnacentral:tRNA from 1 species